rnacentral:rRNA from 1 species
AGAUUGAACGCUGGCGGCAGGCCUAACACAUGCAAGUCGAGCGGCAGCACGGGUACUUGUACCUGGUGGCGAGCGGCGGACGGGUGAGUAAUGCCUAGGAAUCUGCCUGAUAGUGGGGGAUAACGUUCGGAAACGGACGCUAAUACCGCAUACGUCCUACGGGAGAAAGUGGGGGAUCUUCGGACCUCACGCUAUCAGAUGAGCCUAGGUCGGAUUAGCUAGUUGGUAGGUAAGGCCU